rnacentral:rRNA from 1 species
UACGGGGGGGAGCAAGCGUUGUUCGGAUUUACUGGGCGUAAAGGGCGCGUAGGCGGUCAGCACAAGUCAAUUGUGAAAUCUCCGAGCUUAACUCGGAAAGGUCAACUGAAACUGUGCGACUAGAGUGCGGAAGGGGCAACUGGAAUUCUCGGUGUAGCGGUGAAAUGCGUAGAUAUCGAGAGGAACACCUGCGGCGAAGGCGGGUUGCUGGGCUGACACUGACGCUGAAGUGCGAAAGCUAGGGGAGCGAACGGG